rnacentral:lncRNA from 1 species
GUUCAAAAAGUUUAAAUUAUACAUCUCAGAAGAAACUGAUGCCACAUUUAGGGAGCUACAACGCUUUUAUCUUUGAAGCAGAAGCUGAAGGAAGAAAACACUUUCAAAAUAUACAUAGUUUUGCUUUUAUUUCAAGAAAGUCCUUAGGAUGCUUAUGGAAAAAAACCUCAGGGGGAGUUCAGGGGAAGCUGAUUUUGGUUUGGGGUUGGUUUUGCCUAGAUUUACGCUAGAGUACCUUCUUUAAAAAGGAAGGGGCAGCCUCGUUGAGCAUCCUUUAACAGCCCACAAAGCCAAAAUAUGCCAAGGACAUGAAAUCCGAAAAGCAGGAGCAAUAGGAAUUGUCCCUUCUGGCAGGACUUGACUGCUGGGUUUCUACCAACCUGCUGGGGACUCCUGGGAUCCUUGGCUCCAUGAAAUCAGGCUCAGGUCUGAGGACCCAUUUCCUGAGCCAGAAAACCCUGGAGAAUUCCUGUUUGCAUUUCAGGAACACCCUUCCCCAGUUCAGGACCUGGAGCUGCCGAAACACCCUUCCAGAAGGGAGAAAAAUAGGGAAUUGUCAGUGCAGCUUCUUGGAACAUGUGGGGGGUUCCUCCUGUGGGAAACACCAGAGCGCUGUUUCAGAUUCCAAAUCAGAGCACUGGGGUUUGGGGGGAUAUUUUUAUUUUGUUGCUGUUUUCUCACUAUCUGCUUCUCCCAGAACAGGGACAUUCACAUCUGAACCAGCUCCACAUUCCGCACGGCUCAGUGUAGCUCAGUCCUGCUGCUGCGGGCCCAUGCAGCGAGGUACUGGGGAGCACUUGAGAGUUAAAGUUCUCCUUGAAACCAUGACCAUCUACUUAAACCUUCCUCUAAUGCCUAGAGUUUGAGAUAAAACCCCUCUCAAUGAGCCCUACUUCCCCAGUUGUAAGGGUAUACUUUGAUCCCUGAUAGCCAAUUGUUCAUGACUGCUAGCUCCUGUGACUGAAACGAUGUCUGCUUGUAAAAACUGCCAUCCAUUGCUCACCCUGUUUGCAAUUAAAGCCUCAUUUCCAAUCCCUGUGAGGCACAACCAGCACUUAUACGUAUUUCAGAUGCCAGCAGGGAAGAUAGCAGGGUAGGCUGAAGGUGGUAUCAUACAAUCACAGAAUGGUUUGGGUUGGAAGGGACCUUAAAGCUCAUCCAGUUCCAACCCCUGCCAUGGACAGGGACACCUUCCACUAGGGCAGGUUCGUGGCCUCCUCUGGCCUUGCUCCAACAGCCCCACGUCCCUCUUGUGCUGUUGCCCCAGAGCUGGAUCAGGACUGCAGGGGGGGUCUCCCCAGAGCGCAGCAGAGGGGCAGGAUCCCCUCCCUGACCUGCUGCUCACGCUCUGGGGGUGCAGCCCAGGACACAGUGUAAUAUUAUAAAGUGCAUUUUGAGUUGCGUAAACAUACUCAGGCAGUUAUGGCUCCUGGGAACUGUCUUUGCUGCCUGGGGAAUCCACUAUGUCAUGAAAAACAGUAUUUACUGUGAUUUUUAAAAUGCAUUCAAGAGAAUGGGCUCAGGGAUAUUACACACAGAAACUAUCCUCUCCAUUUCUGCAUUAUUAUUAAAGUUGUUUUCUUUCAAUACCCAGAAGGAUUUGGGCAGUGAGGUGCAGAAACAAAGCCUCCUGUGAACAGGAUCUAUUGCAAAAGGUAUGGACAUGUAAGUUUUACAGUACUUUGGGAAGUGAAGCCCUCAGAAGUUGGGAAUCAUUCCUUCCUCAAUUCAGCCCUGACAAGGGGUUGGUGGAGCAGCCAGCAACCCCCCAGGACACCAUGAGCAGGAGGCUUGAGCAAAGCUCCCCCAGAUCAUGUGUUGGGCAUCUCCCAGCUCUUCCAGGCACGACCCUGCAGCCUCCUGGUUGUUCUCUUAGAAAAACAACAAAUCCCUGUAAACGCCAGAUUCUUCUUUGCAUCUUCUCCACCUGCGGGGGGCGCAGCACCAUCCGCUGCUCCAGCCUGGCCAUAACUGCUGUGGACAUGAGAUGCUGCUGUGGAGGGGAGGAGGGCACAAGCCAUCAGCCUGGCGACAGUCCAUAAUAGCAUGUGACUGACUUGUCGUCCGCAGGCGAUGGGAAGUCCCAUCCCUGCAUGCUGCCACCAUGGCAGGGCACCAGCCCUUCUUCUUCCCGGGCUGGAGCACAGUGGUGUUCAGCCGGGCUCAACUCUUCCUGUUCCGAGCCAGAGAACACCCCCGGGGCUGUGUAUCAAAGUCCUGCUGCGAACAAUGUCAGCCAAAGCGCAUAAACAAACCCUCAAGAGAGGUCGUGGCAGUUCUCACAACAAGAAGCUACCAGCAGUUAACAAAGGAUAAAAGCAAAAAAACCGAGCCCCGGCCCCCAGUUCCUUCCAUCGGCACCACCCUUGAGCAGGAGGGUGUCCAUCACUGGCGAAAUCAAAGCUUUCCUCUCCAUUGUUUCCCCAGCAGCAAGAACAGCCCGUGGCCCUUUGCCACCAUGGGGCUGGAUGAAAGCAGCGUGGGGCUGUCACACAACAGACCCAGGGCUGCUGCUGCCUUUGCACCUGCCCUGGGGGCUGCAGUGAAGCCCCUCUCCAGAGCAGGAGGCAGGGCUGGGCUUACUGACCAGACACAAGUGUCCUAUCCCAGCUCUUCUCCUGGAUCACAGUUCGGGGCUAUCACAGCCAACUAAGAACACGCACAACACAGAGCUCCGAAGGCAUGGUCACAGUCCAGCACAGUGUUGCUACUGAAAAAUCCACAUCAAUGUGGACUUCUGUAAUUUGGCGCCUUAACUUGUCCUUUCAACACGAGUAAAAGUCCUGCGACAGUGAUGGAUCCCAUGGAAAGAGAGGCUCCCGGAGCACCACAUUCACAUGCCUUCCUGGUUAUGUGGUGUUAACUAGCUGGAAUUAUUUACAAUCUUCUUCCUGUUUUACACACGUGAUCACUACUGCUCCUAUUCUUAUACGUCUCCCUCAACAUCUCCUGGAGGUCACUACCAGGAUGAGGCCAGAAGAACCUUUGAUCCAACCAGCUUUGUGCUUUAUUAGGAUCAACUAAUGACUGAGCCUGAAGAAAACUAUUUUGACUUAACAACCUUUAUGUUGCCUUGUCUAUGGAGAGUUUGUCCACACUGUAGUGACUGGUAAAAUCUCAAGUGCCAACAGCCCAGGAGUUCCACUGGUGUCCCUACCUACAUUUGCAAGGAUGCAAGUCUCUUCUGCUUCAUCCACACUCCCAGGAGCUUGUUCCAACAUGGUCUCCAUCAAUGGCAAUACUUACAACAGGACCAAAGCAGAAUCAAUGAACCAUGGAAUAGUUUGGGUUGGCAGGGACCUUAAAGCUCAUCCAGUUCCAACCCCCCGCCACAGGCAGGGACACCUUCCACUAGAGCAGGUUGCUCCAAGCCCCUGUGUCCAACCUGGCCUUGAACACUGCCAGGGAUGGGGCAGCCACAGCUUCUCUGGGCACCCUGUGCCAGAUUGUUAUUGCUAUAUAUUUCAAGUAUAUAUAUGUAUUUUAUGUAUAUUGCUAUAUAUUCCAAAUUAGCUAUUAAACGAGGACCUAAACACUUUGUUCACCAUUACCCUCAAAAGCAAGGUUUGCCAUAUGGGGACUCUCUUUGAGGGACAUUUGUACCCUAAAUACGGCUUUUCAUGAGAAAUCCACUUAGUAUUCCUCUAAAAUUCCAGGAGGGUGAAAUCCCCCACUCCUUCAUCUCAUUAAGGAUGAAGGAAUGCCAGGUAUGUGGCAGGAAUCUGGGGUGAGAGGAGGAGUGGGGUGUAUUUUAACUAAGCUGUAGUGUGGUAAAAAAAAAAAAAAAAAGGACAAUCUAAGGAUGAGGAUUUGAAAUGUAUUUCAAAUGUACAUUUGUACAUUUGAAAUGUAUAGCUUCCUGAGAAGCCACACCAGCCACGGUAAUGCACAUGCUUAACCCACGGGAGACAAAACUGUUUAAAGAUGCACAGGUUGCCCAGAGAAGUGGUAAAUGCUCCAUCUCUGGCAGUGUUCAAGGCCAGACUGGAUGGAGUCUUGGGUGGCAUGAUUUAGUGCCCAUGGCAUGGGGCUUGGAACUAGAUGAUCUUAAGGUCCUUUCCAACCCUAACUAUUCUAGGAUUCUAUGAAAGCACUUACACAGUAGCCUUACAUGCCAUCCCCAUUGGCCACCACAGCAGCUAUGAGGCUUUUGGGGCUGCAGGUUGCCAUCACCCCUCCGAACUUCUCCCACCCAGAGGUCCACCACACGCCCUUGCCCUUCAUCUAAGUAAGGAAGGCACCCAAUGCACUGGGGUCUUCCAUGUUUCUAAGUAGUUCAAACACAAGGAGCUCAGAUGCUAUUCAAAGGUCUCUCCUCUCCGGAAUUCAUUUGACAAAGGUUUGAAUAAAGCCUUUUUUGCUCACGUGUUGUAAAGCUCAUUUGUCCAGCCAGACCUGUGAGAGCAGUGCACCGAGCUUCCACCGGGGUGAGCUUCCCCUUGAUGUAACAGCCUAACUAUGGCUACUGGGAGGGCAGGGAACUGGAUGCCUUCACAGAAUCUCACUGGCAACAUAAAAGAUGCUGUCCCCAUCAGCACAGCACAUUUAUUUCCAGAGAGAUGAAGGGAGAAGAUGCUUCAUACUUCAUCUCGGCCCUGAAAUAAAUAAAAAGCUAAAAAACUAGUCCUGCCUAAACCUGGGAAUUUUAAGAGAGUGAAAGCUUCUGAGUCAGACCAUAAAUCCAGCUUGCUUCAUAUUCUGGCAGUGGUCAACAGCAACUGCUCCAGAAGAAAAGCACACCUGCAUGGAGUGAUUCUGACCCUCCUAUACACUUCUUCCAUAUUCAGGCACCUUCCACUUGGCCCACUCUGCAUUAAGCACAGAUGGGUCUAUUCUCCUUCAUUUUACUUGACCUCCCCUCCUACCCCACAAACCCCUUUUCAGCCUUCCCACUAUCCCUAAUGUCCUCACAGUAACUACACACUCUGCUAGCUGCAUUCUCGGAUUAGCUCUGCUGUUACAGGUGCUGAGGCACAGAACUGAGGUCAGAGCAAACAGCCACGAUCUGUCAUGAGUGGACACAAAAACAGAUGCAGGUCUCCUGACUCUGGGUGCAGCGCUCGCAUCACAGACUCUGCUGCAUUAAGAAAAAGAAACUGAGCCCACUGCUCAAAAAGAGGAAGGAAAGAUCCCUAAGGAAGGAGCAAAAGGAGCCUGAAGAACUGGCAAACCAUGUCAGGGGUUAAAACCAAGCAGCUUUGUUGAGGCUGAUGUUUGGGGAGCAGCUUGCUAUCUGCACAAAGCAGUGGGAGUGAGCAAUGGGAAUCAGCACAGCUGCUCUGUGCUUGACGCGUGGAACCAGAGUAGAGACCCCACCAUAUGACUUUAGGGAUAAUGUUAAAUCUGUUACAGCAUUCUCCCCUCCCCUGCUCAUCCCACGCAAGCUUCAAAACUUCUGGUGUAUGACUGCUAGAGGAUCACUGCAGGCUGUCUCUGGAGGGAUAAUCCUAAAUUUCAAGUGACAGCUCAUGGACAUCUUCUCUUUCUUCUGGAAUGCUGCCUUACACAGCACAUUAAGUAUUUUGGAGAUUAGUAACUGGAGCAAAGCGUUCUAAUCUUGGUGUCCUAGUGGAGAUUUAGCAAAGAACGGUUCAUGUUUGAAGUUGCUGUGGCACAGGAAACAGAAGAAGCCUUGAAGACCAAAAGCAAGGCUUA